AUUGAACUCUGGCGGCAGGCCUAACACAUGCAAGUCGCACGAGUGGCGGACGGGUGAGUAAUGUCUGUGAAACUGCCUGAUGGAUGGGGAUAACUACUGGAAAAGGUAGCUAAUACCGCAUACCAUCAUAUAUGCCCAGAUUGGAUUAGCUUGUUGGUGGGGUAACUGCUAACCAAGGCGACUAUCCCUAGAUGGUCUGAGAGGAUGACCAGCCACACUGGAACUGAGACCGGGUCCAGACUCCUACGGUGGGCAGCAGUGGGGAAUAUUGCACAAUGGGCGCAAGCCUGAUGCAGCCAUGCCGGGUGUAUGAAGAAGGCCUUCGGGUUGUAAAGUACUUUCAGCGGGGAGGCGUUACCCGCAGAAGAAGCACCGGCUAACUCCGUGCCAGCAGCCGCGGUAAUUC
rnacentral:rRNA from 1 species